rnacentral:rRNA from 1 species
UACGAAGGGGGCUAGCGUUGUUCGGAAUUACUGGGCGUAAAGGGCGCGUAGGCGGUGUGUCAAGUCAGGCGUGAAAGCCCCGGGCUCAACCUGGGAACCGCGCUUGAGACUGGCACGCUAGAGUUCGGGAGAGGGAUGGUGGAAUUCCCAGUGUAGAGGUGAAAUUCGUAGAUAUUGGGAAGAACACCGGAUGGCGAAGGCAGCCAUCUGGGACCGACACUGACGCUGAGGCGGCGAAAGC